AGCAGAUUACAGAAAAAUGAAAAAAAAUGCAUUUAUUAUAAGACUGUUGUAAUUGACAUUGAGAGAAGAGAGAUUAGGAAAGGCAGAGAAGUCAAACCUGUUGAGUGUUCCAUCAAGGCCAGAAUCCACCAAAUUUAUUUCAACAAUGCUGCCAGCUUCAUUGCACUGAAUUCCAGUCCAGUUGCAAGGGCUGCUUCUGCUGCUAGUGAGAGUCCAUGAUGUUAAAGAAGAAGAGCUUAAACUGAUUUUCCAGUUUAGCAGAGCUUCUGCUUCAGUUUGUGCAUGGAUUGCUCAGAAAAAGCCCCAGCGUCAGCGCCAAACACCGGCAACUACUCAGAAAAUGCCCCCUGCUUCUCCCAUCCCCGUCGACACCAACUCCGUUUCAAAAAGGCUUCAGAAGGAGUUGAUGUCUCUGAUGUCUUCAGUCCUUCUUCCAGUUGUGAUGACUCUUAUAGCAACACG